CAACCGAGGUCUUGGGGUGCUUGUGGGCGUGUGUGGAGGGCGUGGGCGGCGGUGAAGGCGUAGAGAUGAUGGGCGGCGUGUGUGUGUGUGUGAGAUAGUAAUGGCGCCUCCACGACGCCUCUUAUAAGACUUGUUUUGGUCUCUGGGUCCUCCAGACUGUGGUGUCUAGCUCGCCCUCUGCUUGUCCUGGCUGCUCUAUUGCUCUAGAGGGGUAAUCUAGAGUUGCAAAUAGUGAUAUGACUUUCGUGAGGAAGCACCCUAUGUAUCAGAUGAGUGGCUAUUUGAUAUAAAAUUAAAUGGCUUUAUUCAACUGCUGGUUUACCAGUGAAAAGAAAAUGUUCAGUACAGUAGGCUAUAUUGGUUAUUUAGGACGAUCCUAAUAUUCAAGUGAUGGCCUGUAUACUGUAAAUAAUUUUGUGUACUUUAUCUUACUAUUGUACAUAAUUAGUCUAUACGUUACAGGUAUAGUCACACUUCAACAAUAAAAGGAAUUGUCAAUUUC